rnacentral:lncRNA from 1 species
GGGUGGUCAGGGAAGGACCCUCAGAGAUGAACUUUAAGCUCGUUUCUGAAAUGAGUCAGCCAAGUAAAGAGCCAGAAGGAGCAUUCCAGGAUGAGGGAGCCCCUUGUAAAGAUCUUGCUGAGUACCUGAAACUGAAAACGUGGCUGGAUUAAGGGAGCGGCCCAAGAUAAGGUCUGAAAGGUAGGCUGGGGCUAGGUCCAAUAAGACCUUUCCAGCCAUAAUCAGGAGUCUGGAUUUUAUUCUAAGACCUGUAGGAAACCUUAGAUUUCCUUGAAGGGCAGAGAUGUGAUCCUUAUUUGUUUUGGGUUUCUUUUACCCGCUGAAAACAACUACGUUAUCUCAUCAUUUCUGUGUUGUGGGUCAGGAAUCCAGGUGUGGCUUACUGGGUACCUCUGGAUCAAGGUCUUUCAAGGUGUCUUCUGGGGAUGCAGUUUCAAAAAUUUGAAACUUAAAAUUUUCCUUUCUUUUCUUUUCUUUUUUUUUUUUUUUUUUUUUUUUUGAGACAGGGUCUUGCUCUGUUGGCCAGGCUGGAAUGCAGUAGUAAGAUCAUAUCUGAUUGCAACUUUGAACUCCUGGGCUCAAGGGAUCUACCCAUCUCAGCUUCUGAGUAGCUAGAACUAUAGGUGCACACUACCACAGCUGGAUAAUUUUUUUUAAUGUUUUUGGGCUGGAUGCAGUGGCUCACGCCUGUAAUCCUAGCACUUUGGGAGGCAAGGCAGGUGGAUUUCUUGAGCUUGGGAGUUCGAGACCAGCCUGGGCAACAUGGUAAAACCUCAUCUCUACUAAAAAUACAAAAACUAGCCAGGUAUGCUGGCACAUGCCCGUGGUCCUAGCUACUUGGAGGCUGAGGCAGGAGAGUUGCUUGAACUCGGGAGGUAGAGGUUGCAGUGAGCCAUGAUCACACCACUGCACUCCAGCCUGGGUGAAUCUCAAUAUGUUGCCCAGGCUAGUCUCAAACUCCUGGCCUCAAGUGACUCUCCUGUCUUGGCCUCCCGAAGUGUUAGGAUUAUAGGCAUGAGCCAUUGUGCUCAGACAUUGAUUUGGGUUUUAAUAUUGGAUUCGAAGGAGGAAUAAAGAAAUGAGAAGAUAAAUUAAGUAGAAAUAAUGGUGUCUUGGAGUAAGGAAUGGCCAAAAGAGAUGCAGAAUAAUGAAAACACUUUAGAUGUAUGUUGGAGGAAGACUGCAGGAAUCUUCUGUUGUUGUUUUUCUCUGAGACAGGGUCUCCCUGUGCUGUGUCACCCAGGCUAGAAUGCAGCAGCAAGAUCAUAGUUCAUAGCCUCAAACUCCUGGGCUCAAGUGAUCUUCCUGCUUCAUUCUCCUGAGUAGCUGGGACGAUAGGCGUGCACCACCAUACCCAGCCCUAAGGAAUCUCAACAUCUAAGGAUCAGGCAGAAGAAGAUCUGAAAAGCAAUGGAUCAAAGAGAAGAAUGUCAUUUCAGAAGCCAAGAGAAGGAGGACUUUCUAGAAUGAGUGAUCAAUUUAAAAGGUUGACUAUAAUAAAGAUAAAGGUAUCAGGCUGGGAACGGUGGCUCACGCCUAUAAUCCCAGCACUUUGGGAGGCCAAGGCGGGCAGAUCAUCUGAGGUCAAGAGUUUGAGACCAGCCUGGCCAACAUGGUGAAACCCCCGUCUCUACUAAAAAUACAAAAUUAGCCAGGCAUGGCGGCACAUGCAUGAAAUCCCAGCUACUCAGGAGGCUGAGGGGGGAGAAUCACUUGAACCCGGGGAGGCAGAGGUUGCAGUGAGCCAAGAUUGCACCAUUGCACUCCAGCCUAAGCAACAAGAGUGAAACUCUGUCUCAAAAAAAAAAAAAAAGAUAAAGGUAUCUGUUAAUAUUUAAUUUAGAAAACUGAAGGUCAGUGGUGAGCUUGACCAUUUCCGUUGUGCUUUGGAGCAGAAACUAGAUGAUGGUGGGUCAAGGAGUGUAGAUGGGUGAAAAGUAGAGACAACUCCUUUGAAAAAUAUGGCUGUGAGAACGAGUUGAGAAAUGGGACUAGCUGGAGAGGAAUGCAUGGACUAGAACAUAUAUUCUGCUAAUGAAAAUAGCAUAAACAGAAAAGGAGAGAGAUGACUCAGAAGAAAGGGAUAAAAAGAAGGAUGAAGUCUUGGCCUAGGCAAUGGAGAUUAAAAAGCCCUUUCAUAUUUCAUCAGUUAGGAGAGGGGCAAAGAAGUUUUGAGCAGCAGUGAGGUAUGGAUGGUCAUCUCAGAGAGUACACUAGAAAGAUGGAAGAUUGUGGGGCAUUAUUGAGUGUCAGUUUGUUUUUGUGAGGUCAUGACUUAAAAAGCUGUCACCUUGAUUUUAAUAUUUUCUCCAGCAACUUCCAGGGAAAAGAUUGGAAAUGAAACAGGCCUUUCUUAUCUGUACUUCUCAGUAGCCAUGUUUUUUUGGAGUGGCAUAUAUGUGUGUGUACAAAGCAUCAG